rnacentral:lncRNA from 1 species
CUGGGUGUGAGUACAGCCACUUAAGAGUCACUUUGUAUAACCCAUCACCCUGAAGUUCUAUUGUUAAUAGCUGCCCCAGAGAGAGACUUAAACCAUGUACCAAAGGAAGCACCUACAAGGAUCUUCAUGUAAUGUUAUUUUUAACAGUGAGAAAUUAAGGGAGUUCCUGUUGUGGCUCAGUGGAAAUGACUAGUAUCCAUGAGGAUGUGGGUUCGAUCCCUGGCCUAGCUCAGUGGGUUAAAGAUACCACGUUGCUGUGAGCUGUGGUGUAAGCCGGUGGCUGUAGCUCCAAUUUGACCCCGAGUUUGGGAACUUUCAUAUGUAGUGGGUACGGCCCUAAAAAGCAAGAAGAAAAACCACUAAAUAGAUAAUUGUACACCUUUUUUUUAAAGGAUUUUUAUUUUUUCUAUUAUAGGUGAUUUACAUUGUUCUGUCAAUUUCUGUUGUACACCAAGUACCCAGUGAUACAUACAUAUAUGUGUGUGUGUGUGUGUGUGUGUAUAUAUAUAUAUAUAUUCUUUUUCUCACAUUAUCCUCCAUCAUGUUCCAUCACAAGUAACUAGAUAUACUUCCCUGUGCUAUACAGCAGGAUCUUGUACACACUUUUUGUGGAAAAUAUGCUGCAGUUUUCUAAAAUGAGGUGGACCUAAAUAUACUGACAUAAAAAAUUGUUUAAGCCAUAUAAAAACAUAUACACACAUAGAUAUCUUUUCUAUGGGCAACUCCUUGAAGAAAAGUCUGGAAGCAUAUACAUUAUGUUGCUAAUAUUUGUAGAAAGAGGACUAAAAUAGGGGGCAUUGGAGAAGGGAAAAAUCAAAGGGUACAAACAAAACACAAGCCCCUCUAAUUUUCAAAUCACCCUUUUACAUAAAAUGUCACUUACUCCUUAUAUUGACCUUAUGGUGUAAGCAUCAUUUCCACUUACAGAUGAGGGAACCUCAGCUGAGAGAUGCUAAGCCACUCUUACAAACACAACUAGUAGAGAAAUCCCUGGGCUUGAGGCUCUACUUUCCCCAGGCUCCAGAAGGAUUAGGUGGUUAGGUUAAUUGGAACUUGUCUUUGUCACUUUUCACUUUUAAUGAUUUCUCACUGUUUUAAGUGAAAGACACUUUGAGGUACCUCAGACAAUCUACCAUCUGUCAGAGUGAGGAGGGGAAAGAAAACAAUUUGCAAGCUAUCAAAAGAUAGUCCUGAUAUUUAAGAUUCUCUACCUUGCAUUUUCCAGGUGGGAACUUAGGGUCAGGCGUCAAAGGACCAGAGCAUCUGCACCCUAGCUUCUCCCACUGUGGAGUACAAAACUCUGCCCUCAAGUAGCAGGAGGAGCAGGGAAGCGGGAGGCAGUGGGGACAAGAACUGAGCUUUGACUGCCAUUCCCCCAGUGGCUAAGAGCUGCAGAGCCCCUGGUGGGGGUUAGGGAGGGCCCCUGGGGACCUGGGCCUUGCCUUCAAGAGCUCUGAUUCCUUCAUCUUAAUGAUAGCUUCAAAUGAGGUUUGGUUGUUCUUAGCAAGUACAUUUACUGAAACCAUUGAUGUGUCAAAUGUGAACAAAAAUACCACAUUUUUGGUAACUCUAGGAAUUUUCUUCUUCUCUUGUCCCCUACUUCCCCUCCCUCUGUUUCCCUUCUCUCUUCUCCUCUCCCUCCCUCCUUCCUUCAUUCACAGAGAGGGCUUAGUGGCUGGCCUUUCCUUUAAUUUCAUACCAAGUUUGAUACAAAUUUCUUAGUGUAGUCUCUAUCAGCAGUACAGUUGCUAAUUUCAAACACUAAAAAAAAGUUGUAAGUGGGUAAUGGAUAAUAUUUUGAUUGAAUAAUUGAUUUGAUAUAAUAAUUCUCCAGGCUUUCUUGUACCUAUUGGCUUUCUCAUACUGCUGGGGAGAGAGGGGUAGGAUCCUAGAUGCUCUGCCCUCAGGAGAGAGCUGACAAAGAGACAAAGUCUUAACUCUGAGUUCUAAAAUAGAUAAGAUAUAUGCAUAGCAAGAAGGAAAGUCUUGAAAGUCAAGGUUUCUGUUGUAAGAGUUGGGUUUUUGAGACAGAAGGAUUUUAAAUUCUGAAAGUUGGGCUUGGGCCAUCAAUAACUAGUGACCUCAGGAUACAGUUCCUGAGAGCCCACCAUGGGCAUGUCUUCUCAACUCCAUGUUCAGUAACUUAAAAUCAACCAUGGUAAAAGUGUGUGUUCAGGGAGUUCCCACUAAGCUGCAGUGGGUUAAAGAUCUGGCUUGCCUCUGUGGAGGCGCUGGUUUGAUCCCCAGCCUGGCACAGUGGGUUAAGGAUCCAGUGUUGGUGCAGUUAUGUCAUAGGUCACAGCUGUGGUUCAGAUUGGAUCCCUGGCCUGGGAACUUCCAUAUGCCAUGGGUGUCACUAGAAAAAAAAAAAUAGAAAUGUGUUCACCAUGGAAGUUGGCAAAUCCUCAAACCAGGGCCUUUUUCCUAGAGAGUCUGUUGUUAACAUUUUGGAAGGCGGGGAACUAGGAGAAAAGAGCACAGGCGAACUGCUGUGUAGACCCUUCAUGAGCUGAACUCAUGGUGGGGGGAGGUAGACAGAUAAAUUUCCACAUAGGGCUGGAGAUAAGAGGCCAGGUUAUUGCAUCUCAUUUCCUACCUGCAGCUCUGUGAGAAGGUUGCAGCUGCAGAGUGCUGUGUGUGAAAAUGGGCAGGAAUAACAGCAGGGCAGGUCUAGGUGUAGGGACCACAUGGGAGAGCUGGUCUCCCUGCCCCGCAACCCUCAAUCCCCCCUCAACUCUUUUAAGGCCAAAGAGUCCAUAGAGACUUCCUGUUGGACCCUGAAUUGAGCAGAGAUCAGCUCACAUUCUUGGAGUGCAGGGGCUAGUGGGGUCAUUGAUGUUCCCUUGGGGUCACCUUUUCCACCAGUUCCUCCUUUGCUAUGUUUUUCUCACUAAUGGAAUCCCAUUUAAUGGUCAGCCACCUAAGGAUCUCAUUUAAGAUACAUCCUGUAGAGUUCCCCCAUCUCAAUGUUUAGUUCAUUAAAAUGCAGCAUUGGCGUUCUUGUGGCUCAGUGGAUUAAUAACCUGACAUAGUGUCUGUGGAGAUGUGGGUUUGAUCCCUGGACUUGCUCAGUUGGUUAAGGAUUCAGCAUUGCUAAGCUGUGGUGUAGGUUGCAAAUGCAGCUCAAAUCUGGCGUUACUGUGGCUGUAGGUAGGCUGACAGCUACAGCUCCGAUUCAACCCCUAGCCUGGGCACUUAAUAUGCCACAGGUGCAGCCAUAAAAAGAAAAAAUAAUAAUAAAAAUAAAAUGCAGCAUUGAACAUCAGAAAAUUAGGAAUAAAAUUCCCCCAGAAGGUUGAGUCUGCUGUAGGUUUCCUCAUGGCUUGAUAGACACAGAUUCCUGUGGCCCCUUUUAAAAAUAUAAGUCUCUCCUAUGAUAGAAAAAGAAGAGAAGGAAGAUAGGUGAAAACCGUAGAAAAUGGCAGCUGAAAAUCUGAUGGAAAAAGGAAAGGGGGACACCUGCAGGACAGCCAGACUGCAAUGAGAGUGAAAGGAACAGGGAAAUAGAAACAAACAAGUUACAACACCAAAGUGAGCCACAGAGGAAACAUGGAGAAGAAAAUGGAUUCUCUGAGAAAUAUUGUACAGAGGAUGCUGCACCACAAAGCAACAAGAUCUAUGGAUGCACAAAACUAACAGAGAAAGAAGAGUCGUGAGUUCCAGUGUGACAGGAGCCCCUGAUUUCUCUACUUCCUGGGAUUGAGUUAGAGGUGGGCAGCUACUCCAUGGUUCCAUAAUGCUGUAGAAAAACAGGUUCCUUCAUGGCUUGCCAAACAUGUGUACAGGCCUGUGAGAGGCAAUUGCUAAAUUUUCAGGAAUUUUGCUAAACAGUUAUUUUAAAAAUUAUGUUAGGAGGUUCCUGUCGUGGCUUAGCGGAAAUGAAUCUGAUUAGUAUCCAUGACCAUACAGAUUCAGUCCCUGGCCUCAGUCAGUGGGUUAAGGAUCCAGCAUUGCCGUGAGCUGUGGUGUAGUUCGCAGACGAGGCUUGGAUCUGGUGUUGCUGUGGCUGUGGCUGUGGCUGUGGCCUGCAGCUACAGCUCUGAUUUGACUCCUAGCCUG